UACGAAGGGGGCUAGCGUUGCUCGGAAUGACUGGGCGUAAAGGGCGCGUAGGCGGUUCACAGAGUCGGGCGUGAAAUUCCUGGGCUUAACCCGGGGGCUGCGUUCGAUACCUGUGGACUGGAGUGAGGAAGAGGGUCGUGGAAUUCCCAGUGUAGAGGUGAAAUUCGUAGAUAUUGGGAAGAACACCGGUGGCGUAGGCGGCGACCUGGUCCUUUACUGACGCUGAGGCGCGAAAGCCAGAGGAGCGAACGGG
rnacentral:rRNA from 1 species